rnacentral:rRNA from 1 species
CCUACUGGAGGCAGCAGUGAGGAAUAUUGGUCAAUGGGCGCGAGCCUGAACCAGCCAAGUAGCGUGAAGGAUGACUGCCCUACGGGUUGUAAACUUCUUUUGUAAAGGAAUAAAAUGAGGCACGGGUGCCUGUUUGAAUGUACUUGAUGAAUAAGGAUCGGCUAACUCCGUGCCAGCAGCCGCGGUAAUACGGAGGAUCCGAGCGUUAUCCGGAUUUAUUGGGUUUAAAGGGAGCGUAGAUGGGUCGUUAAGUAAGUUGUGAAAGUCUGAGGCCCAACCGUAAAAUUGCCAUUGAUACUGGCAGUCUUGAGUACAGUUGAGGUAGGCGGAAUUCGUGGUGUAGCGGUGAAAUGCUUAGAUAUCACGCAGAACUCCGAUUGCGAAGGCAGCUUACCAAACUGCCUCUGACAUUGAUGCUCGAAAGUGUGGGUAUCAAACAGGAUUAGAUACCCUAGUAGUC